UACAGAGGGUGCAAGCGUUAAUCGGAAUUACUGGGCGUAAAGCGCGCGUAGGUGGUUUGUUAAGUUGGAUGUGAAAUCCCCGGGCUCAACCUGGGAACUGCAUCCAAAACUGGCAAGCUAGAGUAGGGCAGAGGGUGGUGGAAUUUCCUGUGUAGCGGUGAAAUGCGUAGAUAUAGGAAGGAACACCAGUGGCGAAGGCGGCUCUUUGGUCUGUAACUGACGCUGAGGCGCGAAAGCGUGGGGAGCGAACAGG
rnacentral:rRNA from 1 species